UAAAAAGUUAUGAAGGAGAGAAAAAUACCAAUCUUUUAACCACAGAGAGCUGGCAUAAGCUGAAAGUCAGUGUUAAAAGGGUAUAGAAUAAUCGCUCUUGAACUGCCAUAUCGAAAGGGAGCACUUAGUAGAGUUGGCCGGUAUUUACAUCUAUAUUAUUUAUAGAUUUGCCACCGUUAUAUGGCUAGGGUUAAAGAAAAAUUUUCUUAGACCUGAAAAAGACCAUUCAUGUAAAUGAAUUGUGAACUAGGGUGGUACCGCGGGAUAAAAGUCUCUCGUCCCUAGA
rnacentral:ncRNA from 1 species